rnacentral:rRNA from 1 species
GACGAACGCUGGCGGCGUGCUUAACACAUGCAAGUCGAACGGAAAGGCCCUGCUUUUGUGGGGUGCUCGAGUGGUGAACGGGUGAGUAACACGUGAGUAACCUGCUCUUUACUGUGGGAUAACUCCAGGAAACUGGGGCUAAUACCGGAUAGGAGCUCCUGCCUCAUGGUGGGGGUUGGAAAGUGCCGGCGGUUGGGGAUGGACUUGCGGCUUAUCAGCUUGUUGGUGGGGUAGUGGCUUACCAAGGCUUUGACGGGUCGCCGGCCUGAGAGGGUGACCGGCCACAUUGGGACUGAGAUACGGCACAGACUCCUACGGGAGGCAGCAGUGGGGAAUAUUGCACAAUGGGCGGAAGCCUGAUGCAGCAACGCCGCGUGCGGGAUGACGGCCUUCGGGUUGUAAACCGCUUUCGCCUGUGACGAAGCGUGAGUGACGGUAAUGGGUAAAGAAGCACCGGCUAACUACGUG